GACGAACGCUGGCGGCGUGCCUAAUACAUGCAAGUUGAGCGCUGAAGGUUGGUACUUGUACCAACUGGAUGAGCAGCGAACGGGUGAGUAACGCGUGGGGAAUCUGCCUUUGAGCGGGGGACAACAUUUGGAAACGAAUGCUAAUACCGCAUAAAAACUUUAAACACAAGUUUUAAGUUUGAAAGAUGCAAUUGCAUCACUCAAAGAUGAUCCCGCGUUGUAUUAGCUAGUUGGUGAGGUAAAGGCUCACCAAGGCGAUGAUACAUAGCCGACCUGAGAGGGUGAUCGGCCACGUUGGGACUGGGACACGGCCCAAACUCCUACGAGAGACAGCAGUAGGGAAUCUUCGGCGAUGGACGAAAGUCUGACCGAGCAACGCCGCGUGAGUGAAGAAGGUUGUCGGAUCGUAAAACUCUGUUGGUAGAGAAGAACGUUAGUGAGAGUGGAAAGCUCAUCAAGUGACGGUAACUACCCAGAAAGGGACGGCUAACUACGUG
rnacentral:rRNA from 1 species